GAUGAAGAACGCAGCGAAAUGCGAUACGUAAUGUGAAUUGCAAAUUCAGUGAAUCAUCGAGUCUUUGAACGCACAUUGCGCCCCCUGGUAUUCCGUGGGGCAUGCCUGUCCGAGCGUCAUUGCUGCCCUCAAGCACGGCUUGUGUGUUGGGCCCCGUCCUCCGAUCCCGGGGGACGGGCCCGAAAGGCAGCGGCGGCACCGCGUCCGGUCCUCGAGCGUAUGGGGCUUUGUCACCCGCUCUGUAGGCCCGGCCGGCGCUUGCCGAUCAACCCAAAUUUUUAUCCAGGUUGACCUCGGAUCAGGUAGGGAUACCCGCUGAACUUAAGCAUAUCAAUAAGCGGAGGA
rnacentral:misc_RNA from 1 species